UACGUAGGGGGCUAGCGUUGUCCGGAAUCAUUGGGCGUAAAGAGCGUGUAGGCGGUCCGGUAAGUCCGCUGUGAAAGUCGGGGGCUCAACCCUCGAAUGCCGGUGGAUACUGUCGGGCUAGAGUGCGGAAGAGGCGAGUGGAAUUCCUGGUGUAGCGGUGAAAUGCGCAGAUAUCAGGAGGAACACCGGUGGCGAAGGCAGAUCUCUGGGCCAUUACUGACGUGAGGAGCGAAAGCGUGGGGAGCGAACAGG
rnacentral:rRNA from 1 species